UAUGGUAAGUGCCAGCAGCCGCGGUAAUACGUAGGGGGCAAGCGUUAUCCGGAUUUACUGGGUGUAAAGGGAGCGUAGACGGCACGGCAAGCCAGAUGUGAAAGCCCGGGGCUCAACCCCGGGACUGCAUUUGGAACUGCUGAGCUAGAGUGUCGGAGAGGCAAGUGGAAUUCCUAGUGUAGCGGUGAAAUGCGUAGAUAUUAGGAGGAACACCAGUGGCGAAGGCGGCUUGCUGGACGAUGACUGACGUUGAGGCUCGAAAGCGUGGGGAGCAAACAGG
rnacentral:rRNA from 1 species